AUACGGAGGACGCGAGCGUUAUCCGGAUUCAUUGGGUUUAAAGGGUGCGCAGGCGGCCGUGCAAGUCAGCGGUGAAAGCCCGGGGCUCAACCCCGGAAGUGCCGUUGUUACUGCAUGGCUGGAAUGCGGUCGAGGCGGGCGGGACGUGGCGGGUAGCGGUGAAAUGCGUAGAUAUGCCACAGAACGCCGAUAGCGGAGGCAGCUCGCCAGGCCUGCAUUGACGCUCGGGCACGAAAGCGUGGGGAUCGAACAGGAUUAGAUACCCUGGUAGUCCACGCCGUAAACGAUGGGCGCUCGUCGUCGGCGGCAGACAGUCGGCGGCCAAGCGAAGGCGAUAAGCGCCCCACCUGGGGAGUACGGUCGCAAGGCUGAAACUCAAAUGAAUUGACGGGG
rnacentral:rRNA from 1 species